UAAAGAUAUCGGCAAACCUUUCGAAAGAGUGGGACGCAAAGCUAAAGGGGCUAACCAUUAAUGUAAUGAAUGCCAGCCAGUUGCGCUU
rnacentral:ncRNA from 1 species